UAACUAGGUCAGCUAAAUAAGCUCUCGGGCCCAUACCCCGGCAAUAAAGGUGAAAACCCUUUCCUCGUUAU
rnacentral:tRNA from 1 species